UACAGAGGGUGCGAGCGUUAAUCGGAAUCACUGGGCGUAAAGGGUGCGUAGGUGGUUGAAUAAGUCAGAUGUGAAAUCCCUGGGCUUAACCUAGGAAUUGCAUUUGGUACUGUUCAGCUAGAGUGCAGUAGAGGAAAGUGGAAUUUCCGGUGUAGCGGUGAAAUGCGUAGAUAUCGGAAGGAACAUCAGUGGCGAAGGCGACUUUCUGGACUGUAACUGACACUGAGGCACGAAAGCGUGGGGAGCGAACAGG
rnacentral:rRNA from 1 species